GCUGAUGGCUUCUCACUCGCACACCAAGCGAAAGAUUUCUGUACAGUAACGGGCUGCUGUAACCACUUGUGUGCCUGAAUGAGAUCGCUUGCAGGAGCAAGCCGGCCAAGCUUGCCCAGAAGGCGAUGGGGCUUUGGGGCUGGAAAACACUCCCCCAUCCCAGUGUCCAAUGGACAAAUAGCCUGUGAGUGAGGGUUGGUAUGAAACCAGAUAGAGAAGAGCGAGAGCAGAUGCUGUCUUGACCAGAGAGGCAGGAAUGUGGAGCAAGAAACAGACUGCUCUCCCAGUGCACCAAAAGUCAAGACUUGUGUGACAUGUUAAGCAAAAUACAAACAUUCUGUGCCCAGCAACAGAAACCUAUGCCUUCAUGAUUAACAUCCACAGAGUAACUUGGAAUCUCAUAAUGUCGCCUAGUUUGGCUCUCCCUGCAGCAGUUUCUCUUCCUGGUCUUUUUGUUCAGUUAAAUAAAAACAACAACACACUCCCAGAAGAGCUACGUAAUAUUCUACAUCUCUUGAUGCCAGAUUUGCAGCUGUGUCAUUCAGUGGGCAUUUCCAGCUAGUCAGGUAGUGUCAUGUAAAAUGACUUCAUACUAAGUAUAUAUAUUUUUUUAAUAUGGUUGUGAGACUUUUUGCUGCUUGACUCACAGGCACGUCUUUUGCUUGCGAGAGCUGUUUGUCGCAGAUUAUACUUUAUGUGAAAACAAAUGUGGGAUCAGUUUGAAACAGGAGGCUUUGUGCGGUGGAAACGCCUUCUGAAUUGCUCAAAUCUGCUUUGAUCUGUUAUUAUAUUUAUAUAUAGAUGCAGAUAUAUAUAGCUUCUGGAAGCUUUUUAUGCAAUGCUCAGAUUAUUUGAUGACCACCUUGUUUCUGAAUGCCCCUUUGACAAAGUCACCAUAUCAGGUGCAACAGAAGCAGGAACGUGCACCCCGCCAAGCUGAGACUGUUCUUCUUCUUUGGCAACCACUAUUGGCCAAGUAAGAUUGUCUUCCAUAAACACGGUUUUAACAAUGAGUCCGUAAGUGACUGUGGAGGCCAAUUCUGGAUCCACAUGUCCUUCCACAGUGGGGACAUUGGUUUCCAGGCGGGAGUUGAUCAUGGUGUGGAUUUGCCAAGCGUGCCUUCCUCUUAGCACGUUUCUCCCUUGCGUCCUGAGUUUGAGUGUCUUCAAAGCCCAUGACACCUUUGGUAAAGGCUGUUCUCCAACUGGAGCGCUCGCAGGCCAGUGUUUCCCAAUCGUUGGUGUUUAUACUACAUUUUUUUAGAUUUGCCUUGAGA